UCGUUUAACAACAAUUCGUAGUUUGCCUUCAGAGGCUGUGGUUAUAAACUCAUACAGAAGUCUUAAUAGAACUUACAAGUGAUUGAGGUUUCAUCAACCGCACUGAUGUAGAACUUUCACAAUACUUGUAUGUCUGGAAUGUUUGCAACAUUGUAAUGCCGAAGGUACGAACUACAGCAUGAUGGAUCGAUCCCCAAACACUGAAAAAACUGAAAAGCCCAUAACAACAUCCUCCUGUUACAAGUACGUGCAGGGGGACACGUAGACACUUAUGCAGGAGUUUCCAUAGUCCACACAACAUGAUUGGGGAAACAGCAACCCAAUGACCCAGUGGAGUUGGUCUACCAAAGACGGGUGCC